rnacentral:rRNA from 1 species
UACGGAGGGUGCAAACGUUGUCCGGAAUUACUGGGCGUAAAGCGCAUGUAGGUGGCUUUGUGCGUCAACGAUGAAAGACCAUCGCCUAACGAUGGGAACGUUUUUGAUACGGCAAAGCUAGAGUAUGGCAGGGGUACGCGGAACUUUCGGUGUAGGAGUGAAAUCCGUAGAUAUCGAAAGGAACACCAAUGGCGAAGGCAGCGUACUGGGCCUUUACUGACACUGAGAUGCGACAGCGUGGGGAGCGAACGGG